AUGGGCCUCCUUGUCCAGGCCCCUAACCUCGCCGGCGCUCGGCGCCCGACAGCCCGCGUCCUCCGGAGCGACCGCGGCGGGCGGUUCAAGGUCACCGCCGCGGCGUCCGGUGGCUCUGUGAAGGAGGAGGAGGAGAAGGGGACCGGGAAGAAGGAGAAGAUAGUGAUUAGAGUCUUGGACCCCGUUCGCGAGAGGAGGCUGCCGCCGCCUCUGUUCUCGGCCCCAGAGACUCCGGCAGAGUCCCCGGCGGCGAUUCGGCGCCCGGAAGAGGACGGGGAAGAAAGGCGGAGGUACUACGUGAACAUGGGGUACGCCAUCCGGACGCUGAGGGAGGAGCUCCCUGACGUAUUCUGCGAGGAACCCAGCCUCGACAUCUACAGAGAAGAUAUUGUCUUCAAAGAUCCUCUCAGUAAAUUCAUGGGUAUUGAUAGCUAUAAAAGGAUAUUCUGGGCGCUGCGGUUUACCGGUCAGAUUUUCUUCAAGGCCUUGUGGAUUGACAUUGCUACUAUAUGGCAACCAGUCGAUAAUGUAAUUAUGGUCCGGUGGAUCGUUCAUGGCAUCCCUAGAUUCCUACAGGAUGGUCAUAGCCGCUUUGAUGGCAUGUCAGAGUAUAAGUUGGAUAAGAAUGGGAAGAUUUACCAGCAUAAGGUGGAUAAUGUUGCCAUGAAUUUUCGAAAGAAGUUCAAGAUCUUGCCUGUCGAAGAGCUCAUCAGAUCGCUCGGGUGCCCAUCCACUCCAAAACCAACUUACUUCAAGAUAACCUCACUCAUGCCGUUUUGGUUGAGAUGGACAUGGAUGAGGUAA
rnacentral:rRNA from 1 species